CACCUGUUUGGUUUCUGGAAAGUGCUCCCUCAUGUUAAAUUUAUGUAGUUAAGUUGUAAAACAGGAAAUCUUCCUUGACCCUUUGCAGGAUUUGUGAAAGGGGUGGCUUGUUUACUCAGCCCACAGCACUCAGUCCCUCAUGGGAUGGGGAACAUGCAGAUGAUACACCCACUGAAGACUCCAUUCCUUUGGUCUUUCCAGAAUUAGACCAGCAGCUACAGCCCCUGCCACCUUGUCAUGACUCUGAGGAAUCCAUGGAGGUGUUCAAACAGCACUGCCAAAUAGCAGAAGAAUACCAUGAGGUCAAAAAGGAAAUCACCCUGCUUGAGCAAAGGAAGAAGGAGCUCAUUGCCAAGUUAGAUCAGGCAGAAAAGGAGAAGGUGGAUGCUGCUGAGCUGGUUCGGGAAUUCGAGGCUCUGACGGAGGAGAAUCGGACGUUGAGGUUGGCCCAGUCUCAAUGUGUGGAACAACUGGAGAAACUUCGAAUACAGUAUCAGAAGAGGCAGGGCUCGUCCUAACUUUAAAUUUUUCAGUGUGAGCAUACGAGGUUGAUGACUGCCCUGUGCUGGCCAAAAUAUUUUUAUUUUAAACGAAUAGUGAGUCAGAUCUAUUGCUUCUCUGUAUUACCCACAUGACAACUGUCUAUAAUGAGUUU
rnacentral:sRNA from 1 species